rnacentral:rRNA from 1 species
CACGUAGGGCGCAAGCGUUGUCCGGAAUUAUUGGGCGUAAAGAGCUCGUAGGCGGUCUGUUGCGUCCGCUGUGAAAACUCGGGGCUUAACCCCGAGCCUGCAGUGGAUACGGGCAGACUAGAGGUAGGUAGGGGAGAAUGGAAUUCCCGGUGUAGCGGUGAAAUGCGCAGAUAUCGGGAGGAACACCGGUGGCGAAGGCGGUUCUCUGGGCCUUACCUGACGCUGAGGGACGAAAGCUAGGGGAGCGAAUGGG